rnacentral:rRNA from 1 species
CCUGAACGCUGGCGGCGUGGCUAAGACAUGCAAGUCGCACGGACCCGCAAGGGUUAGUGGCGAACGGGUGAGUAAUGAAUCGCUAAUGUACCCCGGACUCUGGGAUAGCCGGCCGAAAGGCCGGGUAAUACCAGAUGAUAUAACCGCUCCGCAUGGAGUGGUUCUCAAAGGUCCGCCGGUCUGGGAGCAGGCGAUUUCGUAUCAGCUAGUUGGUGAGGUAACGGCUCACCAAGGCGACGACGCGUAGCCGGACUGAGAGGUUGGCCGGCCACAUUGGGACUGAGACACGGCCCAAACUCCUACGGGAGGCAGCAGUGGGGAAUAUUGGACAAUGGGCGCAAGCCUGAUCCAGCCAUGCCGCGUGAGUGAUGAAGGCCCUAGGGUUGUAAAGCUCUUUUGUGCGGGAAGAUAAUGACGGUACCGCAAGAAUAAGCCCCGGCUAA